rnacentral:rRNA from 1 species
GACGAACGCUGGCGGCGUGCUUAACACAUGCCAGUCGAACGCUGAAGCUCAGCUUUUGUUGGGUGGAUGAGUGGCGAACGGGUGAGUAACACGUGAGUAACCUGCCUCCUUCUUUGGGAUAACGCCCGGAAACGGGUGCUAAUACUGGAUAUUCACUGGUCUUCGCAUGGGGGUUGGUGGAAAGGGUUUUUCUGGUGGGGGAUGGGCUCGCGGCCUAUCAGCUUGUUGGUGGGGUGAUGGCCUACCAAGGCUUUGACGGGUAGCCGGCCUGAGAGGGUGACCGGUCACAUUGGGACUGAGAUACGGCCCAGACUCCUACGGGAGGCAGCAGUGGGGAAUAUUGCACAAUGGGCGCAAGCCUGAUGCAGCGACGCCGCGUGAGGGAUGGAGGCCUUCGGGUUGUGAACCUCUUUCGCUCAUGGUCAAGCCGCAACAAUGGUUGUGGUGAGGGUAGUGGGUAAAGAAGCGCCGGCUAACUACGU